rnacentral:rRNA from 1 species
AGCCGCCGCGGUAAUACCAGCUCCCCGAGUGGUUGGGACGAUUAUUGGGUCUGAAGCAUCCGUAGCCGGCCCUGCAAGUCUCUCGUUAAAUCCAACGGCUCAACCGUUGGGCUGCGGGAGAUACUAUAGGGCUAGGGGGCGAGAGAGGCCACCGGUGUUCCCGGGAUAGGGGUAAAAUCCUCUGAGCUCGGGAGGACCACCAGUGGCGAAGGCGGGUGGCCAGAGCGCGCCCGACGGUGAGGGAUGAAAGCUGGGGGAGCAAACCGGAUUAGAUACCCGGGUAGUCCCAGCUGUAAACGAUGCGGGUUAGGUGACUGGACGGCUUAGAGCCGCCCAGGUGCCGCAGGGAAGCCGUUAAGCCCGCCGCCUGGGGAGUACGGCCGCAAGGCUGAAACUUAAAGGAAUUGGCGGGGGAGCAC